UGUUUCGACUCCUUUUACUUCGACUGGAGAAAGAUUUGUGAGUUUUCGAGAAGAAAAGCUGAAGACUAGUCUGAGAUUUUUGUGGUGAUGAUUGUACUCAUGUGAAGGCAUUAUUUAUCCUUCUUGAUGAACUCGACAAUGUCUUUAAGUUUGUAACAGAUGAGCUUUUACAUCCUUCAGACUUCAGUAGAUGACCACAAUUAUUCAUUCGUACUUCCGGUAAUGGCUUUCAAGAAAGGUGUCCUAAAUGUCAAAGUGCUUGGGACACUGAAGAUUCACUUACCAAUCGAUGGAAAGAUACCUCCAUUAAGUUGUAUUUUAAGGAAAGAUGUAUAUUAAUAUAAUGGUAGGUACCACAUUGCUUGAUUUAUUGAAUAGAAUGGAUUAAAAAGUGGAAGGUGUUAGAAUUUACUAUAAUUACAUUAUUGUGGUACUAAUAAUUUUUAAUAUUAGCAUUAUUAGUCUCAUUUGCAUGUGCAAGUUUGGAAAGACUUGCUGCUAUAAGAAUGAUGAGCUCUUUGAUGCUUAUUACAACAAAGAUAGAAAAAUAAAUUAUUUAGUAGGUGGUAUUUAUUUGUUUGUUUGUUUUUUAUAGUACGUAAAGCAUAGUUCAUAAAGUAAUCUCUGGAUCUGAUGUCUUAAAUUUCGGAUGUGUCUUCAGACAAUGAACAAUUUUAUUAGAAGUACAAUGUAUACUUACAAUGUCUAGGAGCUGAACAUAUAGGAUGUGGGUCUGCAACAUUUCAAGCUUUUGUUCUCAUAAUAAUUAUUAUAACAUGUGGCAAUAAAUGUGGUAUGGAUUCUGGGGUUGCCAGCUACUGACUAUUCAUCAGGAUUUUGUUGCCCUAUUUGUGUCUGCACUUUAGACACCAUUGCCCAUCUUGGGAUAAGUUUGGCUUUCCAGAAAGAACAUUUUGCUUUAUUGUAGUCUUCAAGCCCAGGAAUGCAUUCUCAAGAACUGUUCUCUGGAAGAUGAGUAUUCCAUUGGAAUCUUCAACAAUAUUAAUGAUAAUUAUUAUUAUUCUUGAUGAUGAUACUGACAGUUGAUUUCACAAUGGGUUGGUCUUGAAGCAGAAAGGUUGUCUUUCAAUUUUAAAGCAGGUCCGAAACAGAGUGUAGAUUUAAGGGUCAGGUCAUAAAUAGGGUAUCAAAUUUUUGGUCAGGUCGUAAAUAGGGUAGGGAAAUCGCAGAUUUUGGUCAUAAAUAGGGUGAGGGUUUUGGGAAGCGGGCCGCACUCCCCUACCCAAUAUUUCUGGGAGUACCCCUGCCCCCUCCCGGGAAAACCUCUUCCUGCAGAUUAAAUGUGAUACCUGUUCUGGGAAUUGAAUCCAUAUACCUCAUUUGUGUCUAGCUACCAUCCUUGUUUCCAAAAAAACUAUUCAAUUAAAAUAACUAUUAGGAAUUACUUCAAAGACAUUUUACAGCUACUUAUGCUAAGUAGCUACAUUUAAUAGUCAAAAAAGAACACUUUUGUUAUCAUUAUCUCUAAGCACAAAGAGAAAGUCUAUAUUUUGGAAAAGUCAGUGAGAGACACACUAUUGGUAUUAAGUGCUAACCUUGUAAACCUUACCAAUAAAAUGUAUUCCAAUUCAAAGCUGGCACAAUGUAUUAUGUUACCCAGACCAGCUGGUUUCUUGGAUUUUUGCACCACAUGGUGUGGAAGAGAUGUGCCAUUCGCAAUGGGCAUUUCUAAUAAUUACUUUAAUCUGGCCGUGGGGCAACAGCACUCCUAUGUGUGCAAUAUUCAGACCUGUUGCUGAACUACAAGAUCUUUGUCAGAUGAUCUUGCAAGGACAUUGUCAACGAACACUAAGAGGACAUUAAAUAUUUUUCAAAUUAAAUGCCCCCUUUUGUUUGAUUCACUUGCUGAAAUUGACAACCCAAGCCUGUUCUCCAGGAUGCAAGAUCUCCUCACAAAAAUUCCAGUUGACUCCGUUGGACCUAAGUCUAAUCAUAAUGCUAUUGUGGAGAGAUUGACAUAUUUACCAUGUCUUCCAAGGGUUAGGGUGCAGGGUUGUUAUCAAACAGACAGUGAGAAGUACUUCUGAUGUGAUAUACAACAAAAAAGCUGGAAGGCAGCCAACACUUUUACAAGGGAUCUUCCUUGUCCAUUGUGCGCGUGGUAUGUGAUUGUUAAAUUACUAACUUAUUGUAUUGUUCCGAAUUUUACUGAAAAGUCAUUAUGAUUGACGCUGAAGGAAA